CCAGAUACGAAAUAUGUUCUUCGAAGCCACUCAAGCUUGUAAACAAACCUUGUUAAUGUGUUCAGAGUUUGCAAAGAAUAAAUGCACAGGUCAUGUCAAACUACAUUAUAUUGUUUGAAUGACAGUCUGGAUCAUUACUUUCUUUCUCAUCACCUUUACCUUGUGAUGGGAGGGAGAGCUUUAACAAAGGUCAAACAAAUUACGAGCUCUCGACUUCGGAUCAAAGUGAUGAUUUAUUAAACUAAGUGACUAAGUUGCAAAAUAAUUCCAUAGCAAGGUUUUCAGGGAGUUUCCUGCCCAGUGAAGGAGAUUUGGUAGAUCUGGAUCUGCAAGGUACUCAUCAACCGCCGAAGAUGCUGAGCAUCAUCCACUCUCACUGAAACGAAGGGGAAUUGAAGCCAUGGAACUCUGUGCAGACUUGGAUUCUCUGUGGCCAUGAUACAGCAAAGCGGUGAAGCAUACUUAACUUUAAGCAAGUUUGUGAGCCCCAUUGACUUUAAUAACUUCAGCAGGAUUUAAGCACAUGAUUAAGUAGUUAGCUGAGUCGGG